rnacentral:rRNA from 1 species
AUGAACGCUAGCUACAGGCUUAACACAUGCAAGUCGAGGGGCAGCAUGGUCUUAGCUUGCUAAGGCCGAUGGCGACCGGCGCACGGGUGAGUAACACGUAUCCAACCUGCCGUCUACUCUUGGACAGCCUUCUGAAAGGAAGAUUAAUACAAGAUGGCAUCAUGAGUCCACAUGUUCACAUGAUUAAAGGUAUUCCGGUAGACGAUGGGGAUGCGUUCCAUUAGAUAGUAGGCGGGGUAACGGCCCACCUAGUCUUCGAUGGAUAGGGGUUCUGAGAGGAAGGUCCCCCACAUUGGAACUGAGACACGGUCCAAACUCCUACGGGAGGCAGCAGUGAGGAAUAUUGGUCAAUGGGCGAGAGCCUGAACCAGCCAAGUAGCGUGAAGGAUGACUGCCCUAUGGGUUGUAAACUUCUUUUAUAAAGGAAUAAAGUCGGGUAUGCAUACCCGUUUGCAUGUACUUUAUGAAUAAGGAUCGGCUAACUCCGUGCCAGCAGCCGCGGUAAUACGGAGGAUCCGAGCGUUAUCCGGAUUUAUUGGGUUUAAAGGGAGCGUAGAUGGAUGUUUAAGUCAGUUGUGAAAGUUUGCGGCUCAACCGUAAAAUUGCAGUUGAUACUGGAUAUCUUGAGUGCAGUUGAGGCAGGCGGAAUUCGUGGUGUAGCGGUGAAAUGCUUAGAUAUCACGAAGAACUCCGAUUGCGAAGGCAGCCUGCUAAGCUGCAACUGACAUUGAGGCUCGAAAGUGUGGGUAUCAAACAGGAUUAGAUACCCUGGUAGUCCACACGGUAAACGAUGAAUACUCGCUGUUUGCGAUAUACAGCAAGCGGCCAAGCGAAAGCGUUAAGUAUUCCACCUGGGGAGUACGCCGGCAACGGUGAAACUCAAAGGAAUUGACGGGGGCCCGCACAAGCGGAGGAACAUGUGGUUUAAUUCGAUGAUACGCGAGGAACCUUACCCGGGCUUAGAUUGCAGAUGAAUUACGGUGAAAGCCGUAAGCCGCAAGGCAUCUGUGAAGGUGCUGCAUGGUUGUCGUCAGCUCGUGCCGUGAGGUGUCGGCUUAAGUGCCAUAACGAGCGCAACCCUUGUUGUCAGUUACUAACAGGUCAUGCUGAGGACUCUGACAAGACUGCCAUCGUAAGAUGUGAGGAAGGUGGGGAUGACGUCAAAUCAGCACGGCCCUUACGUCCGGGGCUACACACAUGUUACAAUGGGGGGUACAGAGGGCCGCUACCACGCGAGUGGAUGCCAAUCCCAAAAACCUCUCUCAGUUCGGACUGGAGUCUGCAACCCGACUCCACGAAGCUGGAUUCGCUAGUAAUCGCGCAUCAGCCACGGCGCGGUGAAUACGUUCCCGGGCCUUGUACACACCGCCCGUCAAGCCAUGGGAGCCGGGGGUACCUGAAGUGCGUAACCGCGAGGAGCGCCCUAGGGUAAAACUGGUGACUGGGGCU